AAUGUCAAAAAAUGCCGUUUAUCGCAUUUUGCAACCAAACUCUUCAUAUGUAUGUGUGUGUUAUGACUGUAUGACUGCAGAAGAGAACUGCUCUGUUCCCACAACUCAGUUUUUCUGGGACUUGAAAACAGACGCUCAGCAGAUUUUAAAGGGGGGAAUCUUGAUCAAAUCGUGGGUUUACACACAAACAUGUAAUACAGUGCCAGAUUUUCUGGAUGUUAUAUACACAUUUGUAUUUGCAAACAUAUACCAUAUUGUUUUAAAUGAUGUAUUUUUGUGUGGGUUUUUACAUUCAGAGAAAGUUACAGUGGAUCUUGAUUUUGGAGGAGGUGAAGUCCAAUCUAAAAGAGUCCCCUCAAGUAUCAUCACCAUGGUACAGUGUCUGUGAAGAUAGUGAUGCAGACCCAGCAUUCACAAAAAAGAGAGGUCCCAUAAAGAGAAGAUCCUGGAGCAAACAGGAAGUACAUGCUGUGGUGAAAGCUGAACCAUUGGCUCUAAAAACCAGAGAUCAGCUUUGGAUUUUUAUAUUAAAAACUGAAUCUCGGCUCUUUAGAUAAAAAAUCUGAAUAACACUUUUAUAGUAAGUAUACACUAUACAUCAUUAGUUUAGCACUAACUCUACAUUAAUAGACUUUAGGAAGCAGUUUAUAAAUACAGCUUCAAACGCUGUAUUCUUGACUUGACUUAAUU